GAGGAUAUAGCUCAGUCGUAGGGUGUGUGCUUAGCAUGCACGAGGUCCUGGGUUCAAUUCCCAGUACCUCCG
rnacentral:tRNA from 1 species